UUCUUACUAAGAUUUGGUCUGGAACCAACUAGCAACUGCAGCAGUUUCUGGCAAGCUGAAACUCUUGAGGAGAGAGAGACAGGACAGCAAAA
rnacentral:lncRNA from 1 species